rnacentral:rRNA from 1 species
CCUACGGGUGGCAGCAGUGGGGAAUAUUGCACAAUGGGGGAAACCCUGAUGCAGCACCGCCGCGUGAGUGAAGAAGUAUUUCGGUAUGUAAAGCUCUAUCAGACGGGAAGAAAAUGCCGGUACCUGAUUAAGAAGCCCCGGCUAACUACGUGCCAGCAGCCGCGGUAAUACGUAGGGGGCAAGAGUUAUCCGGAUUUACUGGGUGUAAAGGGGGCGCAGACGGCGCUGCAAGUCAGAAGUGAAAUCCCAGGGCGUAACCCCGGAACUGCUCUGGAAACUGCGUGGCUGGAGUGCAGGAGGGGUAGGCGGAAUUCCUAGUGUAGCGGUGAAAUGCGUAGAUAUCAGGAGGAACACCAGUGGCGAAGGCGGCUUGCUGGACUGCAACUGACGUUGAGGCUCGAAAGCGUGGGGAGCAAACAGGAUUAGAUACCCUGGUAGUC